GUAGGUGGGCAAGCGUUGUCCGGAAUUAUUGGGCGUAAAGCGCGCGCAGGGCGGUCCUUUAAGUCUGAUGUGAAAGCCCACGGCUCAACCGUGGAGGGUCAUUGGAAACUGGGGGACUUGAGUACAGAAGAGGAAAGCGGAAUUCCAAGUGUAGCGGUGAAAUGCGUAGAGAUUUGGAGGAACACCAGUGGCGAAGGCGGCUUUCUGGUCUGUAACUGACGCUGAGGCGCGAAAGCGUGGGGAGCAAACAGGAUUAGAUACCCUGGUAGUCCACGCCGUAAACGAUGAGUGCUAAGUGUUAGGGGGUUUCCGCCCCUUGGUGCUGCAGCUAACGCAUUAAGCACUCCGCCUGGGGAGUACGGCCGCAAGGCUG
rnacentral:rRNA from 1 species